UAGGGAAUCUUCCGCAAUGGACGCAAGUCUGACGGAGCAACGCCGCGUGAGUGAAGAAGGAUUUCGGUUCGUAAAACUCUGUUGUUAGAGAAGAACAGCGCAUAGAGUAACUGUUAUGCGUGUGACGGUAUCUAACCAGAAAGCCACGGCUAACUACGUGCCAGCAGCCGCGGUAAUACGUAGGUGGCAAGCGUUGUCCGGAUUUAUUGGGCGUAAAGCGAGCGCAGGCGGUCAAUUAAGUCUGAUGUGAAAGCCCCCGGCACAACCGGGGAGGGUCAUUGGAAACUGGUUGACUUGAGUGCAGAAGAGGAGAGUGGAAUUCCAUGUGUAGCGGUGAAAUGCGUAGAUAUAUGGAGGAACACCAGUGGCGAAGGCGACUCUCUGGUCUGUAACUGACGCUGAGGUUCGAAAGCGUGGGUAGCAAACAGG
rnacentral:rRNA from 1 species